rnacentral:rRNA from 1 species
CCUGGUGAAAUUAGCGCUGUGGAACCACCCGAUCCCAUCCCGAACUCGGAAGUGAAACGCAGCUGCGCCGAUGGUAGUGUGG